UAAAAUGUAGAUUGAAAAAACUUAAAUCUAGACCGUCAUUUAUGUGUCCUAAAUAUAGAUAACCGUCAUUUUUGUAUUUACUUACCAAAACACCCUCUAUAUCAUCUCUCCAGCGACAACUUUUUCUUCCUCUUCAGAUCUUCGGACGACAACGAUAAUGGAGAAUAGGAGAAGAAGUGGUGCGAGAUAUAGAUUUAAAGAAGAAAUACGGAUUGAAUUAGUUGUUGUGGUUAUGUAGUCGGUAACAACAAAUCAGCUAUAUACUAAAUAGGUUUUGAUUUUGAUUUGAUUCGGUUGCAGACGUGAACGAACAUUAAGUUCCAAAUCCCAAAUCAGAAGCAUCAGCUCUUGAAGCUGAUAAGAAGUGGUAGUUGUUGUUAUAUUUGAGUGUUAAUUGUUGAGAUGGUGGUGAUACAAGAAACAAUAGACAGGUUGAUUUCAAUGGAAAUACCCUAGCUGCAGCUUUCUUUAUCUAAAUCAAUUGAACGUAAAUCAAUGGAUCUGUAGGGAUCGUUUAUGGUGGUCUCAAAAUGGGUUUAAUUUGGGCGAUUGGUAGUACAAAUUUGGGUUUUUUUAAUAUCAAUCAACUAUGAGUUGAUAACAAAGUGCAGGUUGGGUUUUGCCUAAAAAUGUUGUCUCUCCAGGGACAUUUGUCUGUAAUAAGUGUUAAUUUAUUUUACCACCACCUCCAUGGUAGAACCACCAAUUCCAUUAUCUCCCUCUCUUUAAUGCCAACAACAGAAAUCGAAAACACCAACCUUUUUUUCGUUGCCACCGAAUUUUUCGUCUGCGCACGUAUUGUUGAUCCAUCCCGUUUUUUUAGUUACCUCCGUUGAUUAGAUUCAUCUCCAAUCACGUCUGUUAGAUCCAACCGUAUAAAGAAAACAUUACUUCAUUUCCGUCUUCGAUCAUUCUUCACCUCCGUCAACGCCCUCUCACUCUCUUCUCUAAAAGCUAAAAUCCCACAAGAAUAUUCAGAUGAGUUUCGAACGGUUAAUGGAGGACAUCAGAAAUUGAGUCGAUUGUUUUUCUUUUCUUUGUUUAGGAAUCCAUUGCGGGCGAGCCAAAUGGAAUCGUAGUCAAUUAUAUGAUUGAAUGAAAUUCCACAGAGAAGGAGUUGUCUCCAGAGUUAAAGAAUCAAACUAAAAUCAUCCUAUUGUCACCAGCAACAGGCACGCCAGGAGUUUGUAUAAAUGCUUGAACCAGUUUUGCAGAAACGAUGCGAAAAUGCAACAAAAAUAGCGAGCUGGUACCAUUAGUUGCCGAUGAUGGAAGUGGGAAAAUGGAACGGGAACAACAAUGUUUCACUGAAUCAUGAAAGGGGUACUUAUUGGAUGGGAAAUUUGACAGCGGGAUGUGCGUGUUUGGAGUCGCGAAUUGAAUGGGGUUUUGAACAGAGUUUGGUUGUACAAGAUGCACCUGAGUGCAUAACGCAUAUUUUGACGAAAAAUAAAUUUUGUUCAGGUUGCACCCGAAUGUAUAAUGUGUAUUUUUUUUUUGUUCCUCUUAUUCUUCUUCUUAAUACUUGUUUUUGGUUGAUGUUUUGAUGAUAAAUCUUAUAGUAAUGGUGGUGGAUUUAUUGAUCGA